CUUGUGUUUUGCUGUUGUCGGGUGGAUCACGAUGCAAUUUUGAUUAGAUUAGCAGGACGAAAAUUGCACGGUAUCCAUCUGUAAACCGCAGGACCUUCG
rnacentral:pre_miRNA from 1 species